GUUAGAGUGGCUGAGAUUUAAGCAUUAGUCUGUAAAACUAAUAACGGAUUUAUUCCCUUUAAUA
rnacentral:tRNA from 1 species